AGCAGCAUGGCGCAGCUGGAAGCGCGCGGGGCCCAUAUGAGCUUGUGGUACCCCGAGGUCACUUGAUCGAAACAAGUUGCUGCUA